rnacentral:rRNA from 1 species
GACGAACGCUGGCGGCGUGCUUAACGCAUGCAAGUCGAACGCUGAAGCUCAGCUUUUGUUGGGUGGAUGAGUGGCGAACGGGUGAGUAACACGUGAGUAACCUGCCCCCUUCUUUGGGAUAACGCCCGGAAACGGGUGCUAAUACUGGAUAUUCACUGGUCUUCGCAUGGGGGUUGGUGGAAAGGGUUUUUCUGGUGGGGGAUGGGCUCGCGGCCUAUCAGCUUGUUGGUGGGGUGAUGGCCUACCAAGGCUUUGACGGGUAGCCGGCCUGAGAGGGUGACCGGUCACAUUGGGACUGAGAUACGGCCCAGACUCCUACGGGAGGCAGCAGUGGGGAAUAUUGCACAAUGGGCGCAAGCCUGAUGCAGCGACGCCGCGUGAGGGAUGGAGGCCUUCGGGUUGUGAACCUCUUUCGCUCAUGGUCAAGCCGCAACAAUGGUUGUGGUGAGGGUAGUGGGUAAAGAAGCGCCGGCUAACUACGUG